rnacentral:rRNA from 1 species
AUUGAACGCUGGCGGCAUGCUUUACACAUGCAAGUCGAACGGUAACAGGUUAAGCUGACGAGUGGCGAACGGGUGAGUAAUGCAUCGGAACGUGCCCGGUCGUGGGGGAUAACGCAGCGAAAGCUGCGCUAAUACCGCAUACGAUCUGAGGAUGAAAGCGGGGGACCGUAAGGCCUCGCGCGAUCGGAGCGGCCGAUGUAAGAGUAGGUAGUUGGUGGGGUAAAGGCUCACCAAGCCAACGAUCUGUAGCUGGUCUGAGAGGACGACCAGCCACACUGGGACUGAGACACGGCCCAGACUCCUACGGGAGGCAGCAGUGGGGAAUUUUGGACAAUGGGCGAAAGCCUGAUCCAGCAAUGCCGCGUGCAGGAAGAAGGCCUUCGGGUUGUAAACUGCCUUUGUACGGAGCGAAAAGGUCUCCUCUAAUACAGGGGGCUCAUGACGGUACCGUAAGAAUAAGCACCGGCUAACUACGUGCCAGCAGCCGCCGUAA